rnacentral:lncRNA from 1 species
GGGCAAUAAGGAAGAUCUUUGAGUCGAGAGAGUUGAUAAAAGGCGUUGCAGAUCUUCAAGGUAAUGUGGAUAGUCGACUGCUUCAUCUACAGAGGAGAGAUUCUUUCAGCAUUAAGAAAAUAUACAGGUUCCAACACCCUCAAUACCAUAAAGUCCAGUGGAAGAGCAUCAUACUGCAGGCUCAGCUACAUCCUAGAUACAAAUUCA